GGGGGCGACACGGUUUCGACGGAAGCUGUCGCGGCCCGAAGGCAUGCCGGGACCCACCUGCCCGUAACUUGGUGGAAACUAGAACUGCCAACAACAACUUGGCACUUGCUGCUUAAUUAAUUAAGCGCACGCUUCCCCGGGCUUUGCUCAUGGGCCCGGCAAGAGGCGUCACACAGUGAGCUGGCCUGAGCCUUUCGGUCCGUAAGGCUCGGGCGAGAACCAUCGGACUAGCCGGCUGCGUUUCUUGCUCAUUCUGAGCGUGGCGGGCGAACCAAACGGAAUUGAGCUAAGCAUGUAGGCUUCGUGCCGUAGCGCUUUUCGGACGGGGGUUCGACUCCCCCCGCCUCCACCA
rnacentral:tmRNA from 1 species